GCAAGUCGAGGGAGAAGGUUACUUCGGUAACUGGAGACCGGCAGACGGGUGAGUAACACGUGGGAACAUACCUAGUGGUGGGGGAUAACAGUUGGAAACGACUGCUAAUACCGCAUACGCCCUUCGGGGGAAAGAUUUAUCGCCAUUAGAUUGGCCCGCGUUAGAUUAGCUAGUUGGUAAGGUAAAAGCUUACCAAGGCGACGAUCCGUAGCUGGUCUGAGAGGAUGAUC
rnacentral:rRNA from 1 species